rnacentral:rRNA from 2 species
GAGGAAAAGAAACUAACUAGGAUUCCCUUAGUAACGGCGAGUGAACCGGGAUGAGCUCAAAUUUAAAAUCUGGCGUCUUUCAGGCGUCCGAGUUGUAAUCUAUAGAGGCGUUUUCCGCGCCGGACCGCGUCCAAGUCUCUUGGAAUAGAGUAUCAAAGAGGGUGACAAUCCCGUACUUGACGCGACAACCGGUGCUCUGUGAUACGUUCUCAAUGAGUCGAGUUGUUUGGGAAUGCAGCUCUAAAUGGGUGGUAAAUUCCAUCUAAGGCUAAAUAUUGGCGAGAGACCGAUAGCGAACAAGUACCGUGAGGGAAAGAUGAAAAGCACUUUGGAAAGAGAGUUAAACAGCACGUGAAAUUGUUAAAAGGGAAACGAUUGAAGUCAGUCGUGUGAAAGGUAUUCAGCCGUCUCUGGCGGUGUAUUUGCCUUUCACGGGUCAACAUCAGUUUGAUCCGGUAGAAAAAGGCGGGAGGAAGGUGGCACCCUCGGGUGUGUUAUAGCCUCCUGUCAUAUGUGCCGGACCAGACUGAGGAACGCAGCUUGCCGCAAGGCCGGGGUUCGCCCACGUACAAGCUUAGG